rnacentral:rRNA from 1 species
UACGUAGGUGGCAAGCGUUGUCCGGAUUUACUGGGCGUAAAGAGCGCGCAGGCGGUCGUGCAAGUCGCGUGUGAAAGCCCCCGGCUCAACUGGGGAGGGUCACGCGAUACUGAUCGACUCGAAGGCAGGAGAGGGUAGUGGAAUUCCCGGUGUAGUGGUGAAAUGCGUAGAUAUCGGGAGGAACACCGGUGGCGAAGGCGACGUCCUGGACCGGCAUUGACGCUGAGGCGCGAAAGCCAGGGGAGCAAACGGG